UAAGUGAAGAGUUUGAUCAUGAAAUGGGUGGAAAAACGCUGGCGGCGAGCUAACAUACAGGGAAUCGAACAUUUGGUAACAGGAAGCAGCUUGCUGUUUUGCUGACAGUGGCGGACGGGUGGUAAUGUCUGAAGGCGCUGCCUGAUGGAGGGAUAGCUACUGGAAGCGGUGUAUACCGCACUUAACGUCGCAAGACCAAGGGACCUUCGGGCCUCUUGCCAUCGGAAUGUGCCCAGAUGGGGUUAGCUUGUUGGUGAGGUAACGCGGCUCACCAGGCGAUCUAGCUGGUCUGAGAGGAUGACCAGCCACACUGGAACUGAGACACGGUCGAACUCCACGGGGAGGCAGCAGUGGGAAUAUUGCGCAAUGAGCGCAAGCCUGAUGCAGCCAUGCCGCGUGUAUGAAGAAGGCCUUCGGGUUGUAAAAGUACUUUCGGGAGGAAGGUGUUUGUGGUUGGCAAAACACGGCAAUUGACGUUACCCGCAGAAGAAGCACAGCUUCAACUCCGUGCCAGCAGCGCGGUAAUACGGAGAUUACCAGCACGUUAAUCAGUACUGGGCGUAAAGCGCACGCAGGCGGUACUGUCAAGUCAGUUAUGUGAAAUCCGGGCUGGCGCGAACUGCAUUCGAAAACUGGCGGAAGCGGAGUCUUGUAGAGGGGGUAGAAUUCCGGUGUACAGCGGUGAAAUGCGUAGAAUCUGGAGGAACUACCGGUGGCGAAGGCGGCCCCCGGACAAAGACGACGCUCCAGGUGCGAAAGCGUGGGGAGCAAACAGGAUUGCGAUACCUGGUAGUCCCGCCGUAAACGAUGUCUACUUGGAGUUGUGCCCAGGUGUGGCUUCCGGAGCUAACGCGUUAAGUAGACCGCACGGGAGUACGACGCAGGUUAAAACUCAAAUAAUUGACGGGGGCCGCAAGCGGUGGAGCAUGUGGUUUAAUUCGAUGCAACGCGAAGAACGCUACGGUGUGACAUCCACAGAACUUUCCAGAAUGGACUGUGCCUUCGGGAACUGUGAGACAGGUGCUGCAUGGCUGUCGUCAGCUCGUGUUGUGAAAUGUUGGGUUAAGUCCGCAACGAGCGCAACCCACUUAUCGCUUUGUUGCCAGCGAUUUGGGUCGGGAACUCAAAAGGAGACUGCCGGUACGGUAAACUGGAGGAAGGUGGGGAUGACGCGUCAAGUCAUCAUGGCCCGCUGACGGGGCUACACGUGCUACAAUGGCGCAUACAAGAAGCGACACUCGCGAGCAGCGGACCUCAUAAGAGUGCGUCGUAGUCCGGAUUGGAGUCUGCAACUCGACUCAUGAAGUCCGGAAUCGCUGGUAAUCGUGGAUCAGAAUGCUUACGGUAGAAGAUACGUUCCCGAGGCGCAGCACACCGCAUACUUUCAUGGGGUAUGGGUUGCAAAAAGUAGGUAGCUUAACCUUCGGGGAGGGCGCUUACCACUUUGUGAUUCAUGACUGGGGGUGAAGUCAUGUAAGGUGACAAAUGUGGGGGUACGUUGGAUCACCUCUUAC
rnacentral:rRNA from 1 species